GACGAACGCUGGCGGCGUGCCUAAUACAUGCAAGUCGAGCGGACUUUCAAGAAGCUUGCUUUUUGAAAGUUAGCGGCGGACGGGUGAGUAACACGUGGGCAACCUGCCUGCAAGACGGGGAUAACUCCGGGAAACCGGGGCUAAUACCGGAUAAUAUCUUCCUUCGCAUGAAGGAAGGUUGAAAGGCGGCGCAAGCUGCCGCUUGCAGAUGGGCCCGCGGCGCAUUAGCUAGUUGGUGAGGUAACGGCUCACCAAGGCGACGAUGCGUAGCCGACCUGAGAGGGUGAUCGGCCACACUGGGACUGGGACACGGCCCAGACUCCUACGGGAGGCAGCAGUAGGGAAUCUUCCGCAAUGGACGAAAGUCUGACGGAGCAACGCCGCGGGAGCGAAGAAGGUCUUCGGAUCGUAAAGCUCUGUUGUCAGGGAAGAACAAGUACCGUUCGAACAGGGCGGUACCUUGACGGUACCUGACCAGAAAGCCACGGCUAACUACGUG
rnacentral:rRNA from 1 species